GUCCACGCCGUAAACGAUGGGUGCUAGGUGUGGGGGUGUCGACUCCCUCCGUGCCGAAGCUAACGCAUUAAGCACCCCGCCUGGGGGAGUACGGCCGCAAGGCUAAAACUCAAAGGAAUUGACGGGGCCCGCACAAGCAGCGGAGCAUGUGGUUUAAUUCGACGCAACGCGAAGAACCUUACCUGGGCUAGAAUGUGCUUUGAAAGGGGGUGAAAGCCCUCCGGUCGCAAGAACAGAGUGCAAGGUGCUGCAUGGCUGUCGU
rnacentral:rRNA from 1 species